rnacentral:rRNA from 1 species
CGUGAGGAUCGUUGGGUUAAGUCCCGUAACGAGCGCAACCCUUGUCCUAGUUACCAGCACGUUAUGGUGGGCACUCUAAGGAGACUGCCGGUGACAAACCGGGAGGAAGGUGGGGAUGACGUCAAGUCAUCCAUGGCCCUUACGGGCCUGGGCUACACACGUGCUACAAUGGUCGGUACAAAGGGUUGCCAAGCCGCGAGGUGGAGCUAAUCCAUAAACCGAUCGUAGUCCGGAUCGCAGUCUGCAACUCGACUGCGUGAAGUCGGAAUCGCUAGUAAUCGUGAAUCAGAAUGUCACGGUGAAUACGUUCCCGGGCCUU